rnacentral:rRNA from 1 species
UACGAAGGGGGCGAGCGUUGUUCGGAUUUACUGGGCGUAAAGGGCGCGCAGGCGGCUCAUUUUGUCAGGCGUGAAAGCCCCGGGCUUAACCUGGGAGGUGCGUUUGAUACGGAUGGGCUAGAGUUCGGGAGAGGAGAGUGGAAUUCCCAGUGUAGAGGUGAAAUUCGUAGAUAUUGGGAAGAACACCGGUAGCGAAGGCGGCUCUCUGGACCGAGACUGACGCUGAGGCGCGAAAGCGUGGGGAGCAAACAGG